AGGGUUCGAUCCUGGCUCAGAACGAACGCUGGCGGCAUGCCUAACACAUGCAAGUCGAACGCUAUUUAUAGAGUGGCGCACGGGUGAGUAACGCGUGGGAACCUGCCUUUUUCUGCGGGAUAACGGUUGGAAACGGCCGCUAAUACCGCAUACGCCCUACGGGGGAAAGGUCCGCCGGAAAAAGAGGGGCCCGCGUCUGAUUAGCUUGUUGGUGGGGUAAUGGCCUACCAAGGCGACGAUCAGUAGCUGGUCUGAGAGGAUGAUCAGCCACACUGGGACUGAGACACGGCCCAGACUCCUACGGGAGGCAGCAGUGGGGAAUAUUGGACAAUGGGGGCAACCCUGAUCCAGCAAUGCCGCGUGUGUGAUGAAGGCCUUAGGGUUGUAAAGCACUUUCACUGGUGAAGGUGAUGACGGUAACCAGAGAAGAAGCCCCGGCUAACUUCGUGCCAGCAGCCGCGGUAA
rnacentral:rRNA from 1 species